ensembl:lncRNA
AGGGUUUCUACCAUCAGAUCUUUCCACGACGGACUCAAGGUUUCUGCCAUCGGAUCCCUCGCUACAGACUGCAUGCUGACGGACUUCCCUGGGCCUGCUACCUGAGACCUGCUGCUUCCUUCCGGGCUUACUCUGCGGCUUCUUCCUGGACCCACCCGAUACCUGCACCCUCUCGUUGCCCAAGACCGGCCUCGCUGCUCCUGCCCUUCGGCCUCGGGCCAUCGGAACGUCGUGCAAGGGGACUACUGCCGGAUCCUGGUGAAGGUUUAUGAACAUAAUUUUAAGGAACUGCAAGUGAGUUUUAACUCCAUGUAAACCUGGGAGAAGCAUUGUAAAACAAUACAGUAUCUUAAUCCUGGCACUUCCACGAAGAAGAUGUUUGAGAAAUUGUCUUUAUGCAAUUUAUUUUCUACUGAUUAGUUAGUGAUUGGUCAUACAUAAGAAGGAAGAAUCUGCCCGUAUGUAAAGAAAUCUGAUUGACUGUUCUAGUUUUCUGGAAUGCACAGCAUGGAGUCACAGAAGCAUUCUAACAAUGCUAAGAAGUAAUAUUUUUUCCUAUUCUGAUGUGUAGUCUACCACUGAGUGGACAGAGCUUCAUGUUCACAAAAUGUGGUUUUCAUGGGGGACUUCACCAUCUCAAUAUUUGUUGAAAGGACAACACAACAGGAUACCAGCAAAGAGAUUCCUGGGAUGCAUUGGUGACUGCUUCCUCUUCCAAGUGGUACAGAAACCCACAAGCAAAGGUGCUAUGUUGGACCUUGUCCUCACCAAUGAGGAGGGAGUGUUGGCUAGGUCACACAUGAUUUUCUGUAUUAUCAAGCAAAACCAGGAGUGUGCAUCAAUGUCAGAGCUCUACUGAAAUGAAUGUGGAACAAUGACAAUUUACUCAUCAAUCAAACUAUCCCAGAAGCAAGCGAAAGUGAAGAAGCACCGCGCGCAACCAGAUGAUGUAUCUUCCGUGAUGUGUCUUCCUUCUCUGACCGUGAGGUCCUCUGGGAUACAUAGUUCUUCUCUUUUGUCCAUGAUGUUAUGAUGUGGAAUACCAAUAGCGAAGUUACAAAACCAUGACAAUAUAUAUAGUGUAUGUGAUGGACUCUGGGAUCUCAGGUGGACUGCGUUGGAAUACUGUGACUGAGAUCUUGGAAAUCGGAGGAGGUCGAAGUUAACUGGAAGUUGGCAAGCACUGUUCCAGUUUUCAAGAAGGGCAAGAAAGAAGACCCUGGUAAUUACUGGCCUGUCAAUCUCACUUCAGUGCCAGUGAAAAUUGGAAGGAAGACAAAUGUACUCAAAAAGAGCUACGUUUACCCUAUAAUACGCAAAUGACUACACUAUUACUUUGGUUCAUUUCCACUAAAGGUUUUAGGAUCCUUUUUGUUUUCUGUAACAAAAGAUGACAGAUAAUAAGAAAACUGCACUAAAAAUUUCCUCAAGACUAUUCUGUUGGGAAAGAAAUUUGUCUUCUGGAGAUCUGCUGAUGAAGUCUGUCUUCACCAAGGGAAGGUCAUGCCUGACCAGUCUGGUGGCCUUCUGUGAUGGAGUGAUGGCAUUGUUGGACAAAGGGAAGGAAAUUGAUGUCAUCUACCUGGAUUUCUGCAAGGCCAUUGUAUCCUUGUCUUUAAACUGGAGAGAGAUGGAUUUGAAGAGUGGACUAUUUGGUGGAUAAGGAAUUGGUUGGAAGGUUGCAGCCAGAAGACUGUGGUCAAUGUCUCUAUGUCCAGGUGGAGGCUAGAAAUGAGCAGUGUCACCCAGGAGUCUGUCUUAGGACCAGUACUCUUUAACAUCUUUAUCAGUGACAUAGAUGAUGGGACUGAGUGCACGCUCACCAAGUUUGCUGAUGGCACCAACCUGAUCAGUGCAGUUGAUGCAGCAGAAGGAAAGGAUGCCAUCCAGAGGGAACUUGAGAAACUCAGGAGGUGGGCCCUUGUUAACCUAGUGAGGUACAACAAAGCAAGGUGGAAGGUUUUGCACUUGGGUCAAGGUAAUCCCAGAUAUGUAUGCAAACUGGGAGAAGAACUCCUUGAGAGUAGCCCUGCUGAAAAGGACUUAUUGAUUCUGGUUGAUGGAAAACUUAACAAGAGGCAUCAGCAUGCACUUGCAGCCUGGAAGACCAAAGGUAUCCAGGGUACCACUGAAUGUUGGUGAGGGAGCUGUUUGUUUCCAUCUAUUCUGCCCUUGUGAGGCCCGAGAUGGACUACUGCAUCCAAGUCUGGGACACUCAGCGCUGGAAAGAUGUGGAGCUUUUGCAUAGGGUCCAGAGGAGCGCCACAAAGAUGAUCCAGGGGCUGGUGUCUAUCUAUGAAGAUAGACAGAAGGAACAAGACUUGUUCAGUGUGGAAAAGGGAAGGCUGUGGGGAAACCUGAUUGUAGCCUUCCAAUAUUUAAAAAGAUUAUAAAAAUUAGUGAAAUUAACUUUCUACAUGAGUAGACAGUGAUAGGACAAGGAGGAAUGGUUUUAAACUAAAGGAAGGGAGAUUUAGAUUAGAUGAGUCCCUUCCAAUCCAAGCCAGUCUAUGAUUCUAUAAUCUCUUCAUUCUGUCUAGUUCUCUUAUCAGACUCCAACAUUAAAAAGAUAAAACAAAGGAUACGGAAUGGUAGUGUCUUCCAGCAGUGACAAUUAAAACAUGGAUGAAGAUCUGUAAGGAUCAAGAUUUUACUGAAAAUAUAAGAGUAUUCAUAUCCUUUGAGAAUAUGAUUGAUUUACAGUCAGUAGAGAAUGUUUUAAUUCAGCUCCUUUCACUUGAGGCUUUGCUAUUUAAAGAAAGCUUUAAGAAAUUGUACAGUUAAAAAAAAAAAAAGUCAUUAACAUUGGCUUCUGAGACUGAAAAAUUUUAACUAAAUAUUUAAAAGUAAUGUAAAUAAAAAUGUUAUCCAGUUUGUUUUGUAUAAAUAGUGUACAUCUUAAAGUGUAGAUGAUAUUCAAUAAAUGGAUUCAAGUAAGCAAAGAAUGAAAAAGCCUACUAUUUCCUACUAUGAAAAACAGUGAACAAAUGUCCUUAACCAUGUCCUCCGAAAGAAAUAGGAAAGUAUAAUUUGACAUGUCCUUCCCAAGUUAUAUACCAUUUAAAACCAUAUGAGCAAUGAGUUCCUGAACACACUAACCUAAGUCAUUGUAAACACAUUGUUAACCGUGGCCAAACUACUAUUAAAAUCUUUUAAAUUUUGAAUUCAUGGUUAUAUAGAUUAAAAAGCUCUUAAAAUACUAAUAUACUUUUUGCUUUGGAGAUAUGCUGUUUUCAGUACAUUUUUACUUACAGUAAUUGAUCGCAGAGCUAACAUGGUUAUGCAAAUAAAUCUGCUUUUUUCAGCACUUAUGUAUACUAAUUUCUCAUUUACCUCAGGAAUCUUCACAAAGCUAAUAAAUAAUAUUUUUUAAUUAUACUGUUUGAUAACACUGUCAAUUGAGAUGUUAAGCUGAUUCACGGUUGUGUCAGCAAAAAAACGUCAUUAAGUGGCUUUGGAUCUUUUGGAAAUGCUUCAGGAAAAUUUCAAGACCAGCAUUUGCUCCCUAACUCUUUCUUAUCACCUGCUAUCUUAUGUCAUGUUGAAUCAUAACAGAUUGAUGUUUGUUUCUGUAUGUCAGCAAAAAACAGGGAUUGCAUAGCCUCAUUUCUUUGCAUUAACUACAUCAAUAUUUGUUUGUUAUUUUUCCCAAUAUUUCAAGCACUAGAAAAUAUAUUAAAAUACUUUCCUUGAGGGGGGAGGUAGGAAUUUUUUUUUUUUAUUACUUCCACACAAUUGAAAAGAAUGAUACUAUAAUACUUAAUCAGGAAUAUUUUCUCUAAAAUACCAUGAGCUAGUAUGUCUUGUGUUUGGAAUAAUUUUUUUCAUGUAUUACAUUCAGCUUUUCUUGUUACUAAUGUAAUAGCUUAUGACCAGAGCUUCUUGGUUUGUUUCCUAACAAAUAUUGAAAUUUAUUUCUGUAGAAUAUUAGCUUUCUGAAGAUAUUUCAUAUGCACAUGUUUACAUAAACAAUGUAUACAUUGAUCCUAUUGUUACAAAAAUGCAUAUUUGAUUUCAAUCAUGUGUAUAAUUCUGUAGUUCUGUUCAUUAUAGUGUAUAAGAAACUAGUAUAGUAAG